rnacentral:rRNA from 1 species
AACGCUGGCGGCGUGCUUCAUACAUGCAAGUCGAACGAUAAGGUCUCUUCGGAGAUACAUAAGUGGCGGACGGGUGAGUAAAAUGUAGAGAAUCUGCCCUUAAGCGGGGGACAACAGAGGGAAACUUCUGCUAAUACCCCAUAUGAGCGUAGCUGAAAUGCUAUUCUUGAAAACUCCGGUGCUUAAGGAUGAGUCUGCAUCUGAUUAGCUAGUUGGGGGUGUAAUGGACCACCAAGGCGACGAUCAGUAGCUGGUUUGGGAGGAUGAUCAGCCACAAUGGGACUGAGACACGGCCCAUACUCCUACGGGAGGCAGCAGUAGGGAAUUUUGCGCAAUGGGGGAAACCCUGACGCAGCAACGCCGCGUGACCGAUGAAGCCCUUCGGGGUGUAAAGGUCUGUCAGUGGGGACGAAACUUGACGGUACCCACAGAGGAAGCAUCGGCUAACUCCGUGCCAGCCGCCGC